AUCAAUGUUGUUACAUUUUACACUUCAUUUUCUUUGUCUGUCAUUUUCCUCUACACCUCUCUUUUAUCAGAGAAAAUAAGGGAGAGAAAUAAAGUGGAUUUCUCUUUUUUAUUUUUCAACCAAAGGGAGUUGUAGGGGAA
rfam:Cajanus cajan CcLG06_471, whole genome shotgun sequence.